rnacentral:rRNA from 1 species
UGGGGAAUAUUGCACAAUGGGCGCAAGCCUGAUGCAGCCAUGCCGCGUGUAUGAAGAAGGCCUUCGGGUUGUAAAGUACUUUCAGCGAGGAGGAAGGCGGUAAGGUUAAUAACCUUAUCGAUUGACGUUACUCGCAGAAGAAGCACCGGCUAACUCCGUGCCAGCAGCCGCGGUAAUACGGAGGGUGCAAGCGUUAAUCGGAAUUACUGGGCGUAAAGCGCACGCAGGCGGUCUGUCAAGUCGGAUGUGAAAUCCCCGGGCUCAUCCUGGGAACUGCAUUCGAAACUGGCAGGCUAGAGUCUUGUAGAGGGGGGUAGAAUUCCAGGUGUAGCGGUGAAAUGCGUAGAGAUCUGGAGGAAUACCGGUGGCGAAGGCGGCCCCCUGGACAAAGACUGACGCUCAGUUGCGAAAGCGUGGGGAGCAAACA